GGAUGCUCCGCGUAAAAAAAAAGGCGCCACAGGAGCACCCGAGGCGAUCGGCUAGUGGUUCAUCGCCGCCAUCUCUCGGUGGCCGGAUCCUCCCCCGCGGCGGCGCUGGCUCGUGCUUCGCUCCUAACCAGCGGAACGGAGUAGCGAACUGGUGGCAAGUUGAAGCAACAAUUGAUCAGUAGAGGCGUGUGGAUCGGCCCAGGUGGAACGCACAGCUUAAGAAGUAACACUAAUAGCAUAUUAGUGAGUCACAUACUGCUUGCCGAAAUCUAGUCAGACAAUGAAGGGCGACCAUCAUGUUAAGAGCAACUUCAGUGCAUCUGUGUUUUUUAUUUGAAGUUGUGCAACAUAAGACUACUAACAAAAAUUGAUGAAAGGGGUGAGCGAAAACCAAGAGAAAUUUCAUGAAGCAGGGUCAAGGCGUUCCUUACCAUAUGCAUUGCCGAUCUUGUCUGUAGUUUGGAAAAUAGCUGUCACAGCUACACAUAAGAUCAUUAAUGCAUAGUUGAUCUCGGGGAUGUAGACCUGCCCAUGAAACUUAUUUGAAGUGUGGGUGACACGAACGCGUGGAAAGCAUCCAAGAAUUUGGGACUGGGCAAUGAUUGCGAAGGCACCAGAUAUCAUAGCUUGGCUUGCAAUUAUAGCAGCAGCCACGGCCACCACAAAUGUUGGCCAAUAUAAUGGAACUGAUGACAAAAUAAAUGAGUUGAUUGUUAAAUAUUAAUCUUUCAGUGACUAACUCAUUCCAUUUCUUAGCUUAUCCUUUUGUGAUCUCACCUGGGAUAGAUUUGUAGAAUGUAUCUGCAACAUCUUCAGGGUAGAUGCGAAGAUAUGCAGCUUGCCCCAUGUAAGCCAGCAGCACUGAUGGGAGUAGAACUACGGAAAAGCCAAUCUGUAGUGUGAUAUCUUUUUAUAUUAAAAAGUGAGUAAAUUGAGAAGCAUGAAAAGGUGAUGAUAAUUUUAUUAAUCAAGGAAAGUAGUU